GCAAAACUUCUAGCCCAAUCAACUAUAACUAGCAUACCCAUAUUUGACAAAACAAAACAUUUGACAAGAUUAGUAAAUGCGAUUAAACAUUAAAAUUGAAGCAAUAGCAAACGAGUACCGCAAGGGAAAAAUGAAAUAAUACUGAAAUACCACACGCGAAAAAAAGCAAAGAUUAACAC
rnacentral:rRNA from 1 species